UACAGAGGUGGCAAGCGUUGUUCGGAAUUACUGGGCGUAAAGGGCGCGUAGGCGGCUUGGUCAGUCCCGUGUGAAAUCCCUCGGCUCAACUGAGGAACUGCACGGGAAACUGCCUGGCUUGAGUUCGGGAGAGGGAAGCGGAAUUCCGGGUGUAGCGGUGAAAUGCGUAGAUAUCCGGAGGAACACCGGUGGCGAAGGCGGCUUCCUGGACCGACGCUGACGCUGAGGCGCGAAAGCUAGGGGAGCAAACGGG
rnacentral:rRNA from 1 species